GCCAACUUGCAAUAGCCUUGCCCUUAUCAUUUUUGCUUUUGUUCUCCACUCAUUUUCCUCAUCAAUCUAGCUCUCUAUUUCCUUGUCAUUUUUGCUUUUUGUUCUCUUCUCAUCUUUCUCACCAGCCUCGCUCUCUCUUGCCUCAUCUCCACCAUCUCCCUCUUUAGUAUUGCUUUCCUCAUCUCCACUAUCUCCAUCCUCACUCUAGUUGUUGUCAUCUCCACCUUCUAUAUCCUCGCCAUCACUUCCACCAUCUUCCUCCACAAUCUCCUCAGCAUUAUCUGUAGGAGUGUUAUGCACUAACAAAUCGUGGGUCGUCUGUACCAAAUAUUUGGAUUUCCCUGCUAUUACUUCACCACGAAGUGCAGCUUGUAGCAUCCCUAUACAGGUUAAUCGCUGCAAGUAGACAAUAAAAGUAAUAUAAAUCACUGCAAGUAGAUAAUGAAUAGACA
rnacentral:lncRNA from 1 species